UGGGGAAUAUUGCACAAUGGGGGAAACCCUGAUGCAGCAACGCCGCGUGAGUGAAGAAGUAUUUCGGUAUGUAAAGCUCUAUCAGCAGGGAAGAUGAUGACGGUACCUGACUAAGAAGCUCCGGCUAAAUACGUGCCAGCAGCCGCGGUAAUACGUAUGGAGCAAGCGUUAUCCGGAUUUACUGGGUGUAAAGGGUGCGUAGGCGGCAGGGCAAGUCAGAUGUGAAAGACCGGGGCUUAACUCCGGGGCUGCAUUUGAAACUGCUUUGCUUGAGUCCGGGAGAGGCAGGCGGAAUUCCUAGUGUAGCGGUGAAAUGCGUAGAUAUUAGGAGGAACACCAGUGGCGAAGGCGGCCUGCUGGACCGGAACUGACGCUGAGGCACGAAAGCGUGGGGAGCAAACA
rnacentral:rRNA from 1 species